ensembl:snoRNA
AUUCUUUUAUGGCUUUUAUGGUGCAUAAGCAUGAUGAUAGGGUUUUUACGCUCAUGUGUUAGACGCACCUCUCUCAAACCUUAUUACAACAUCAGUACAUUACCUGUAUGACA